rfam:Hordeum vulgare subsp. vulgare, WGS project CAJW01000000 data, contig: morex_contig_1824211
UUUGUACUCCAUCCGCCCAUAAUUUUUGUCUUAGAUUUGUCUAGAUAUAAAUGUAUCUAGUCACAUUUUGGUAUUUAGAUACAUCAACUUCUAGAAAAAUAUAGGACAAGAAUUUUGGGACGGAGGGAGUAUGUU